rnacentral:rRNA from 1 species
AGCUCCAAUAGCGUAUAUUAAAGUUGUUGCGGUUAAAAAGCUCGUAGUUGGAUUUCUGUCGAGGGCGGCCGGUCCGCACUAUGUGCGUGUAUCUGGUUCGGUCUUGGCAUCCUCUUGGGAACGUUUCUGUGCUUGAUUGCAUGGGGCGGGAUUCAAGACUUUUACUUUGAGGAAAUUAGAGUGUUCACGGCAAGCUAUCGCUUUGAAUACAUUAGCAUGGAAUAAUAAUAUAGGGCGUAAGUUCUAUUUUGUUGGUUUCUAGGACAUACGCAAUGAUUAAUAGGGACAGUCGGGGGCAUUUGUAUUCAAACGACAGAGGUGAAAUUCUUGGACCGUUUGAAGACAAACUACUGCGAAAGCAUUUGCCAAGAAUGUUUUCA